CCUACGGGUGGCAGCAGUAGGGAAUAUUGCUCAAUGGGGGAAACCCUGAAGCAGCAACGCCGCGUGGAGGAUGAAGGUUUUCGGAUUGUAAACUCCUUUUGUUAGAGAAGAUACUGAGGGUAUCUAACGAAUAAGCACCGGCUAACUCCGUGCCAGCAGCCGCGGUAUUACGGAGGGUGCAAGCGUUACUCCGAAUCACUGGGCGUAAAGAGGGCGUAGGCGGGAUAGCAAGGCAGAUGUGAAAUACGAUGGCUUAACCAUAGGACUGCAUUUGAAACUGUUAUUCUAGAGUAUGGGAGAGGUAGGUGGAAUUCUUGGUGUAGGGGUAAAAUCCAUAGAGAUCAAGAAGAAUACUCAUUGCGAAGGCGACCUGCUAGCACAUAACUGACGCUGAUGCGCGAAAGCGUGGGGAGCAAACAGGAUUAGAUACCCUAGUAGUC
rnacentral:rRNA from 1 species